rnacentral:rRNA from 1 species
AACGAACGCUGGCGGCAGGCUUAACACAUGCAAGUCGAGCGCCCCGCAAGGGGAGCGGCAGACGGGUGAGUAACGCGUGGGAAUCUACCCAUCUCUACGGAAUAACGCAUGGAAACAUGUGCUAAUAUCGUAUACGUCCUUCGGGAGAAAGAUUUAUCGGAGAUGGAUGAGCCCGCGUUGGAUUAGCUAGUUGGUGGGGUAAAGGCCUACCAAGGCGACGAUCCAUAGCUGGUCUGAGAGGAUGAUCAGCCACACUGGGACUGAGACACGGCCCAGACUCCUACGGGAGGCAGCAGUGGGGAAUAUUGGACAAUGGGCGCAAGCCUGAUCCAGCCAUGCCGCGUGAGUGAUGAAGGCCCUAGGGUUGUAAAGCUCUUUCACCGGUGAAGAUAAUGACGGUAACCGGAGAAGAAGCCCCGGCUAACUUCGUGCCAGCCGCCGCAGUAACAC